UCGGACGGGAUUUUUUCUUGUAGCAAUACGAGGAAAAGUCUAGUGGCGAACGGGUGCUUAACACGUGGGCAACCUGCCGAGAAGUGGGGGAUAGCUCGCCGAAAGGCGAAUUAAUACCGCAUGUGAUUAGAAUGGACAUCCAUUCAAAAUUAAAGUCGGGGCAACCUGACGCUUCUUGUGGGGCCCGCGGCCUAUCAGCUAGUUGGUGAGGUAACGGCCCACCAAGGCUUUGACGGGUAGCUGGUCUGAGAGGACGACCAGCCACACUGGGACUGAGACACGGCCCAGACACCUACGGGUGGCAGCAGUCGAGAAUUUUUCUCAAUGGGGGAAACCCUGAAGGAGCGACGCCGCGUGGAGGAUGAAGGUCUUCGGAUUGUAAACUCCUGUCAUUGGGGAACAAUGCCCCGAUAUUAACUGUAUCGGGGUUGAUAGUACCCGAAGAGGAAGAGACGGCUAACUCUGUGCCAGCAGCCGCGGUAAUACAGAGGUCUCAAGCGUUGUUCGGAUUCAUUGGGCGUAAAGGGUGCGUAGGCGGCGCGGUAAGUCGGGUGUGAAAUCUUGGAGCUUAACUCCGAAACUGCAUUCGAUACUGCCGUGCUUGAGGACUGGAGAGGAGACUGGAAUUUACGGUGUAGCGGUGAAAUGCGUAGAUAUCGUAAGGAAGACCAGUGGCGAAGGCGGGUCUCUGGACAGUUCCUGACGCUGAGGCACGAAGGUCAGGGGAGCAAACGGGAUUAGAUACCCCGGUAGUCCUGACAGUAAACGGUGCACGUUUGGUGUGGGAGGAU
rnacentral:rRNA from 1 species